UACAGAGGGUGCAAGCGUUGCUCGGAUUUACUGGGCGUAAAGCGUACGCAGACGGCCACGCAGGUCGGGUGUGAAAGCCCCGGGCUCAACCCGGGAACUGCAUUCGAAACCAUGUGGCUUGAGUGUGGGAGAGGAAAGUGGAAUUCCUGGUGUAGAGGUGAAAUUCGUAGAUAUCAGGAGGAACACCGGCGGCGAAGGCGGCUUUCUGGUCCACAACUGACGUUCAGGUACGAAAGCGUGGGGAGCAAACAGG
rnacentral:rRNA from 1 species